AAGAGCUAAAAACACUUGGUCAAAAUCAAGACCAACCAAACAGAGAACAAAAUCAAAUCAAACUCCUACGUCUACCCAAUGAUUUACCCACAACUCACAGGUCAAACCUAAAUAGGUUUUCUACAAGAAAGAACCUAAGCUCUGAUACCAUCUCUGUAACACCCCCUUCCCGAAAAGGAAAGGGAGGUCACGUGCAAAGCACAACAAACCUCAAAAUAAGUAAACAGAGCACUAAUAACUUCAAAAUAUUAAUAAUGAUAUCCAUCAAUGAAGUACUAAAUAUAAUUCUCCAACUAGAAUCAAAAUAAUCAAAACCAAAAAUUUAAUCAACCUAGAUGGUCAAGGCAACACUCUCAUCACACUAGCCCUUAAUCACCCCUGCAAACCUGCCGGAAGAAAAACACAGCAUGAGCCAAUUGCCC
rnacentral:lncRNA from 1 species